UGUUUUUUUAUUCCUUUACCCUUAGCUAGUUCUCAGGAAUUGAGAUCAUCAGUAACUAAACCACCCUCAUGUAGUUGCAAUGCAUGUUUAACAUCAUGCUGAUAGAUUAGAACUGUUCUUAGUACCAGAUUUUUUCAUUAUUAUUUAUUUUUUCUAGAGAGCUACUACUGGCUGACUCUAAAGAUUUGGCACAAUUCACUGAAAUGAAGCAUAAUAUUCUGUCUACUGAAAUUCAAGGAGACCCAAUUUGAAUAUUUUGUUAUUUUCUAAAACCCUUUUGGCAUACUGCAUACACACAGGAUUUACAAUUAUUUUGCACAUGAACACAGACACAUAACCAGCUACAUUGGCUGUUAUGUUGCUCAUGGGUAUUUUAAUUUUUUUUGCUGGGUUUUGUUUUUCUUUUUUUUUUUUUAGAACAAAGCAGCAAUUUUCUAGGCAAUGGAUUGCAUUUGACCUAUUCUAUAUUUAUAGGAUUCAUAUUGCCAACACUUAUAUGCAAAUCCUCAUGCUGAAUGGCAUUCAUUUAAAUAAGGUUCAUUGACACGAGAAAGGUUGGCAUGCCAAAUAACAGAGGUGAUUUUUAAUAUUUACAUCAUUUCUGCCAAAUGCAGAAACUUCAUGGCUGUAUUGAUAUACUAUACAGUUUCUCAGGGAUAGAUUAGAUAUGAGAUCAAAAUCCCCAUUCCCAGAAAUAUUGUUCUGUUCUCAGGAAGCCUGAGCAUCCUGUCUCCAGUAAUGACUUAUUCACACAGAGCAUUCUUCAAUAUACCCCCUAGAUCAAUGUGGGAUAAGUGUGCCAGCCUACAGAGGUCUUGUUCUCCAUUUCAACACCUAGAUUUCUCCUUUAAAAACCCAUUUCUGAGUUUUAUUCCCCUUCCACUACCCAGUCUGCCAGUUUUAGACUCUCACUAAGUCAUUCUAACACUAGGCACAGUUAGCGAAUAAUCUCAUGGAGUAGGGAAGAAUCUUUCUUCAGCUCAACCAGUUAUGGUGAAUCCUUUAUAACUCAUAGAUCUGGGGAGAGUUAAGGUAUUUUUCAUAUACUGUAUUUCUAUGAAAUUUUUUGUGAAUACAGUGAGUAUGCUCUAAUCCAUUAGGACAGAACAGGUAAAUACAGUGUUGAUGUACUUGUCAUAAAUAAAUAAUGGCAAUAGUAUUUCAGCAACAUCACCCUUAAUUUUGUCAGUGUUCUGAAUUUGUAUCUUCUCCCAAAAGAGUAUGCAGACAUAUUUUUGCACACACAGAAUAUGAAUCAGCAGAGCAGUUAAACAUAUGCUUAAGCCUCAUUGCAUUUCAGAAUGGUUGAAUGCUUUGCUGAGUAGUGCUGAGGGUCAGUACAUGCUAAUGUGUAAGCAAAAGCAGGAUUGACUCUCACAGCAUGUUCUGAAUGUCAGAUUUCCAAAUGGAAAUUUACAAUGGAGAAUGUGUAGUUGAGAUAUGUAGCUCUUUUCUUUUUUUUUCUUUUUCUCUGAGAGAGAGAGAGAACAGAAAGGACAUAGCUGACUUGUUCAGCUCAUUCCUUCCCUUCUGCUAUUGCUAGCAACCUUCCUGUGACACCCAUAUACACAAACGUGUGCAAUCUCUAUUCUUGAAAUAACCAUCACCCCCUCAGUAGGGUGCAGAUGCUGACUGCAGCAGUUGGGCAGGCAAAUGAUGUGAUACUGCUCUAAAAUGUAGAGAAAAUGUAAGCAAAUUAUAAACGUUUAGUGUUACAUAUGCCAUGUAUCUGCAUUACAAGUGCCUUCCACAGAGACUGAAUUUCUGUAAUCUGCUGAACUGUGUGCUCUUUUGGAUUAACGCAGUACAACUUUGUUCUCAGCAGGUUGAAAAUGACUCUGUGGUGGGCAGUUUAGCACUUCUACGUAACUGUGGGAUUUUUAAUGCCCUUUCAAAUGUCACCUUUUAUUGAGGUGUUAAAGUUUUUUCUUAAUGAAUAACUUUGAGUUUCCAUCCAGCCGGGUCCCUCACUGAAGCUUUCUAUUGUAAGUCAUGAGCAAACUUUUUCCAAGAAUACUGAAAAUCUUUAGAUUGCAACCCAUUAAAUGAUAACGAACAGAAUAUUUUACACAUUUGAAGCUUAAAUUGUUUUGUGCCCAGUCUUUGAGUCGCCUAUGCAGCGUCUUCUGAGAAAUCCAUUCUGUUCUGAAAGUUCUUGUGGUAGAGCAGGAGUGACCUAGUCCUGUUUUCCUCCUCCCACUAGCGAGCUAGGAACUUGCACUAUUGCAUGUGGGCUGUCAAUUAGCAUUAUCUCCAUUUG